rnacentral:misc_RNA from 1 species
CGGAGUAGCAGGACAACGGUAGAG